AAUGUAACGCGCUAUCCGUGUCAGCAUAUAGCGCGAUUCUUUUCGUUGUUUCGACCGAUAUCCCGCCUGGCGUGCACGCAAAUACGUAUGUCCAUCACGGGUGUGUGACAAGCGACUUUUGCAAAACGGUCAUUUACGAAAACCGGUACCCGUAAAUACGCGUAUUUUGUCAACCGACCGAUCAGGAUUAUCCAGUUUUUACUAUUAUUACUUAUUUACUCUACGCUUUUUUCUCAUUUCGUUUAUCGCGAGGUUGUUGUACAGUGUGUUGAUGUGUAUCCGUGGGUCGACAGUUUUCGAGGAUCGAUUCCGACACGCUAGAACCAAAAUAUCGAUCGAGCCUUGUUUAUUUAUUUUGCCAGAGUUUACGUUGGAUGAAACGAGAUGGAGAGACAGAGAGACGAUGGUGUGACCGAUAUUUUUCUACGUCGAUUUUAAGAUCGACCUCGUCUAUACGUUACAAAUAACUCUUUUAUUCGGAUUUUGGAAAAAUUCGGUGGAAUUUUAGAAGAACUUUUACGAGAAUGCGUGGGAAGUUGUUUUUGCGAUAAGGAGGAUUAGGAACGAGAAAGAGGAAGAAUUUCUGGAAUUCAUUUGUAACUAUAGAAAAGUGUGCAAUGCAAACGAAACGGGAUAAAAUACGGGCAUUCUGCGGGGAAAGUGGACGAUUCGGCGACACACGUUGAGUAAAGGGCAGACCAACGAAAGAAAAACCGAUCCUGAUCUUCGUUUCGAGAUAAUUCAACGUGUUCGAUUGAACAAAUUGCGGCCACGAUAAAAGAAACGGCGAAAGAAAACUGGUUCCGUUCGCGAUCAUUUAACUAUUUUACCUUUGUUUCUUCUUCUUGCUGAUCGAGUGGAUAAUAUCGAAAGAUGGCCGUCUCGCUUUUAAGAUUUUCUUUGGGUUAGAAUUAAUGAUGAACGGUGUCCGACCAGCUUGAUUAAUUAUUUAUGAUUCGCGAGAUUUUGAACGGAAUUUAAUUUAUGAGUUUCGUCAACUAUUUUGAUAAAUUUUUAACAAUUGAAAAUGUGAUCGUGAUCGGUAUAUUACUAUGAAGAAUAAACUACUGAUUUGAUCGAACAAGUUACAACUCACGAUGGAAGCGAGACAAAUCAAACUGUUGUCAAGAUUACGAAAUCACGCGAUUAUCGAAUACAUUCGAAUACAUUCAAAUGUUGGCAAUCGCACAAGGUGAAUUGCCUCCUUCUUCUUCAUUGUUGGUUCCGUCCUCCAGACGGAAAAAAGUAAGAGGAACCGGAUAAAGAGCAAAGGUGCACGGCGAAAACGAGCAUGUUCGUGCAAAUACGUCGCGACGUGUACGAAUUCGCGAGUACAAGGAACGUCCAUUCCCUGCUCGACCAAAGACAAAAGGGACUUGGGACGAAGGCCACCAAAUAGGUAUGUUUUCAUUUCGAUGCAAAUGGGAAACGUCGAGUGGGAGAGGGGAAAAGAGUAAAGAAGCGGAAGGAAAAAAAAGAAAAAAGAGGAGACCGAUCGACCGGCCUCUCGAUGCGUUUCAAGUCCCUGAAGGGCCGAAAGAACGACGAAAAUCGAAGGGAAUCGAUAUCGAAACAAUCGGUGAUAAUCGAUGCAACGCAAUAACUGGCUGUGCAAUAAUCCUUUUCUAUUUCGGAAUAAUACGCACGUUCGUUCGUUACGAAUGGAAAUUCGUACUCGAAAUAUUCGCGUGUUUAAAAUUUUUGAUAUAAUUGAAAGAUUUAUUUUUAAUAUGCUGUCAAGAGAAUGAAUUUCUGAUAGAGAAAUUAAAUUUGAAUAAUUUUCUAUAAACAAAUAUAAUAAAAAGAGAUCACAGACAUAAAUCUGUGUUUAUAAACAACCAUUAUUUGAUAAUGAUAUUUUUAGAAAUCAGGAAUUUACAGAUGGAAAAGAAUAAUUAUAUUUAAUGAUUUAAUUGAAAAAUUCAUUUUCAAUGGCAAAAAACAAGAAAAAAAACAAGUGAGUUAAACGUUACUCUGAUGAAUCAUUGAUGAAAUAAGACUUCCUAAUUAUUUCAAGCAGUUUAUAAUGAACAAUCGUUCCACUAAAGACAUUCGAGUGGUCAUGAUGCCGUUCGAUUUAUUGUGUUUUACGAUACGUGUUCAUCACGUAUGUUUGAAUGUCAACAAUUUCGGCUUCCUUGGAAAAUAUCAUGUCAAGCUGAAAAUGAAUUUUGUUACGAAACGAGUCUUAUCAAACUCGUAAAAAUCAAACAUUGCCUCAUCGUAUGAAAAUUGACGAUAGAAAAAAUGUGAAAUUUAACGAUGCUUAUGCUAAAGGAUGCAUACCAAAAGGACUACGUACCAUAAAACAUGCAUCUUGUUUCUCUUGUUUAUAUAGGGAAAAUAAUUAUAUAUGUAACAGUUUGGGAAAGUACAAGCGUACAAUAUUCAUAGAGAGAAGUGAAAAUGUAAACAUAGAAAUGUGCGUACAGUAUAUUUUAUAUCGAGUUUCAAAAUAUUUUACAAAUUUUUUGUAAAAAAAGAAAAAAUGUAUAAAAAAAAAAUUAUGGUAACGUGUAUCUAUUCCACGAAAUUUUUAAAGAAAUCUUUCUGCAAUCUCUAACGUAAAGAAAGUUUAAACAAGUUUACUCCCUUUUAUCCUUACUUUACCCUGUGACCUAGAAAUGGGCGUUGGAAUAUUACGUAACUCGGCACACUUGCUAGUAGCAACACUAUUUUAAUCUCAAUCGAAAUAAGAAAAGAGAACGAUUCAUUUUAUAAAAGAGAAAUGAUGCGCAAAUAAAUGUUAUUCUAAAUUAAGAGCUUGUGCGCUUAAACGAUUGGUAAAUUAAACAAAUGCUAAUACAAAAGAAACAUUCUUCGCUUGCGAAGGAGAAAAAAACCGUUCUUCAUCUGUCAACUUUGUUUAUUGAAAGAUAAACGCGGAGAGACUAUCAUGAAAUACAGCGUAUGAUAUUCUUGGGAACUGAGAGUUUCUGUAUGACUGAACGAUGACAGACUCCCACUACACUUGUUGUUAUGCAACGAAGCGUGUGGACCCGGCUGAGUGCCGGCUAGCGAAAUGAGCGAAAUAGCGUUCUCGUGGCGCAGAGCGCACGUGCAUCUGGAAGGUUCACUGUACCAGACACUUUUGUACACAACCGUACAUAACCUCCCUCCUAGUUCGUUUAAUUUUAUCUUUUUUGUCCUAUUAUUUACCAGGAAAUCACGAAAUAUCGCGUAUACGAAAGAUAUGCUUGAAAUAGUAAAAGAAAGAUAAAGAAAUCGUACUUACCACAAACGUUCAGCCAACCCUCGACGCGACAA